AGGGCACCACCAGGAGUGGAGCCUGCGGCUUAAUUUGACUCAACACGGGAAAACUCACCCGGCCCGGACACUGGGAGGAUUGACAGAUUGAGAGCUCUUUCUUGAUUCAGUGGGUGGUGGUGCAUGGCCGUUCUUAGUUGGUGGAGUGAUUUGUCUGGUUAAUUCCGAUAACGAACGAGACUCUAGCCUACUAAAUAGAUCGUCGGCUUACAAACGCCGGCGAGACUUCUUAGAGGGACAGGCGGUGAUUCAACCGCACGAAACAGAGCAAUAACAGGUCUGUGAUGCCCUUAGAUGUCCGGGGCUGCACGCGCGCUACACUGAAGUGAUCAGCGUGCAAUUUACGUUUGGUGAUCUGUCAAGAUUGCCCAACCCGUUGAACCUUCUUCGUGAUUGGGAUAGGGGAUUGUAAUUAUUCCCCUUGAACGAGGAAUUCCCAGUAAGCGCAAGUCAUAAGCUUGCGUUGAUUACGUCCCUGCCCUUUGUACACACCGCCCGUCGCUACUACCGAUUGAAUGA
rnacentral:rRNA from 1 species